GAUGAAGAACGUAGCGAAAUGCGAUAAGUAGUGUGAAUUGCAGAAUUCAGUGAAUCAUCGAAUCUUUGAACGCACAUUGCGCCCCUUGGUAUCCCGAGGGGCAUGCCUGUUCGAGCGUCAUUUCACCACUCAAGCCUGGCUUGGUGUUGGGCGACGUCCCCUUUGGGGACGCGCCUCGAAACGCUCGGCGGCGUGGCACCGGCUUUAAGCGUAGCAGAAUCUUUCGCUUUGGAAGUCGGGGCCCCGUCUGCCGGAAGACCUACUCGCAAGGUUGACCUCGGAUCAGGCAGGGAUACCCGCUGAACUUAAGCAUAUCAAUAAGCGGAUGA
rnacentral:misc_RNA from 1 species